rnacentral:rRNA from 1 species
GACGAACGCUGGCGGCGUGCUUAACACAUGCAUUUCGAACGGAAAGGCCCUGCUUUUGUGGGGUGCUCGAGUGGCGAACGGGUGAGUAACACGUGAGUAACCUGCCCUUGACUUUGGGAUAACUUCAGGAAACUGGGGCUAAUACCGGAUAGGAGCUCCUGCUGCAUGGUGGGGGUUGGAAAGUUUCGGCGGUUGGGGAUGGACUCGCGGCUUAUCAGCUUGUUGGUGGGGUAGUGGCUUACCAAGGCUUUGACGGGUAGCCGGCCUGAGAGGGUGACCGGCCACAUUGGGACUGAGAUACGGCCCAGACUCCUACGGGAGGCAGCAGUGGGGAAUAUUGCACAAUGGGCGGAAGCCUGAUGCAGCAACGCCGCGUGCGGGAUGACGGCCUUCGGGUUGUAAACCGCUUUCGCCUGUGACGAAGCGUGAGUGACGGUAAUGGGUAAAGAAGCACCGGCUAACUACGUGCCAGCAGCCGCGGUGAUACGUAGGGUGCGAGCGUUGUCCGGAUUUAUUGGGCGUAAAGGGCUCGUAGGUGGUUGAUCGCGUCGGAAGUGUAAUCUUGGGGCUUAACCCUGAGCGUGCUUUCGAUACGGGUUGACUUGAGGAAGGUAGGGGAGAAUGGAAUUCCUGGUGGAGCGGUGGAAUGCGCAGAUAUCAGGAGGAACACCAGUGGCGAAGGCGGUUCUCUGGGCCUUUCCUGACGCUGAGGAGCGAAAGCGUGGGGAGCGAACAGGCUUAGAUACCCUGGUAGUCCACGCUGUAAACGGUGGGUACUAGGUGUGGGGUCCAUUCCACGGGUUCCGUGCCGUAGCUAACGCUUUAAGUACCCCGCCUGGGGAGUACGGCCGCAAGGCUAAAACUCAAAGGAAUUGACGGGGCCCCGCACAAGCGGCGGAGCAUGCGGAUUAAUUCGAUGCAACGCGUAGAACCUUACCUGGGUUUGACAUGGAUCGGGAGUGCUCAGAGAUGGGUGUGCCUCUUUUGGGGUCGGUUCACAGGUGGUGCAUGCCUGUCGUCAGCUCGUGUCGUGAGAUGUUGGGUUAAGUCCCGCAACGAGCGCAACCCUUGUUCACUGUUGCCAGCACGUUAUGGUGGGGACUCAGUGGAGACCGCCGGGGUCAACUCGGAGGAGGGUGGGGAUGACGUCAAGUCAUCAUGCCCCUUAUGUCCAGGGCUUCACGCAUGCUACAAUGGCUGGUACAGAGAGUGGCGAGCCUGUGAGGGUGAGCGAAUCUCGGAAAGCCGGUCUCAGUUCGGAUUGGGGUCUGCAACUCGACCUCAUGAAGUCGGAGUCGCUAGUAAUCGCAGAUCAGCAACGCUGCGGUGAAUACGUUCCCGGG